AAUCAACGCUGGCGGCGUGCCUAACACAUGCAAGUCGAACGCGAAAGCUCCGAAAGGGGCAAGUAGAGUGGCGAACGGGUGAGUAACGCGUGGGUGACCUGCCUUCGAGUGGGGGAUAACGUUCCGAAAGGGACGCUAAUACCGCAUGACAUCCUGCCUUUGAACAGGCGGACAUCAAAGCCGGGGAUCGCAAGACCUGGCGCUCGAAGAGGGGCCCGCGUCCGAUUAGCUAGUUGGUGGGGUAACGGCUCACCAAGGCAACGAUCGGUA
rnacentral:rRNA from 1 species